GUCUCUGUGGCGCAAUUGGUUAGCGCGUUCGGCUGUUAACCGAAAAGUUGCUGGUUCAAGCCCAGCCAGGGACG
rfam:Ciona savignyi cont_33119, whole genome shotgun sequence.